AAAGAACAACUAAGUUGUAACCUUCAUCAUCGAUCAUCUUUUUCUCCAUACAAUCGUUUUUCUUCCGAAAACACAAAUUAUUUGUAAUUAAUCGUCGGAGGAAGAGUAGUGCGGAUGGUGAUGGAGUUCAAAUAUAUGUUCCAUAGAGAGAAGAUAAAGUGAAAGAGUGAAGAAGAUAUGGAUCAAGCGUGGAGGUGGUGUGCUCUGAUGGGCAAUCGAUUGCCGGGGUUUCCGGACUUUCCUCGGCAUUUCUGAAGCUUUCCUCAGUGAGUUCUUCCUCAGUUCCUCGAACCUCUCCAUGUAAACCCCCCUGGUGGCGCGCAGUGAUCGGCCGGAAACCGACGGAUCUAAGAGAACGAGAGUGGUGCGAGGAGCGAGAAAUGGUGGGUUGUUUCGUGACGGCGAAGGAGAAGUGUGUCGGGUUCGCGAGGGACAAGUGCGCGACGCCUUUCCGAGAUGCGCGGAUUGCCAUCAGGGAAAGGCGGGCGAUUCCGAAAGACCUUGGAAGUUAAUUUAUUUGGCGUCGGUCCUUGAUAGGAGUUCGUGGGUUGAUUUGAUUCUAUUGGAUCAAUUGAAUUCGCGGGCUUUAGCUCCAACGAAUUAUAGGGCGAGUGAAUUGCUCAGAUCUGAUCCUGAAUGUUUUGAAGUAGGUGGUGGCGGAAAAUUCACAAACGCUGCUCUUGAAGCUGGUCCGCCGCAGAGGAACUGAAAAUGAAUUAGCAGCCAACCUAUAAGCAUGAAGCUUGUUGCCUCUAUAGUUCUCCACUUUUUGCAGCAUUAGAUUCCAGAAGGUGUGGAAAGAUGUUGACGGUGUUUUAACAUGUGAUCCUAACAUACUCACAAGCAGAGCCCGUGCCAUAUUUGACAUUUGAAGAGGCUGCUGAACUUGCAUAUUUUGCCAACCAGGAAUCAUGAUCUUAUACCUUAUUACCCAGUCAAGUUGUGGAGUACAGCUUGAACGAAGGAACGACAGGAUACAUGAUGAACAUGUCAAGAAAGAACAAGCCAAAUUACAAUUCCAAGCCAUAGACAAGAAGUACAAGGGAACCAUGAUAGCGUUGUUCUUGUCAUUGUUGUUUUUCAUUAUGAUUGUAAGUUUUAUGUAUCUGAGGAAAAAUGGCAUAUGUCAGUCAUUGCUAAGACUCAUGUAAUCAUUAAGUCAUUUGCUGUAAUGUUUAGAGCACUUUUUGCAAGUUUUAUGUAAACUUUGGGGUGGCAACAAUCUAAUUUAUACAACCUGACUUUUUUGUA